rnacentral:lncRNA from 1 species
AUGUUUGCUGUGAGUGAUAUUGCAAUGUUUUCUCAAAAAUACUUAACUGCAGCUCAUCAGAAAAAUUAUUCCUUGGCUUCCUUCGCAAAAACAUAGUGUCAAAAAUAGACGUGAGAUCUCGUUAUUUAUAUUGCUGAAGUACUGAAUGGCCCUGCCUGAGAACAGACUGUUCUUGCAUCAGGAACUACGCUGGGAGAUGGGCCUUCACUGAGGAACCAGCUUCUGGAGACGAGGCAGACGAGGAGAAGGAGACAAAUGGAGCAUCCUAAAACUGCCGCACAGAAGUGGUGGUGGAAUUCCUGAGCCGUUUUCCAGAGAAUCCCACCAUUUUCUGUUCACUCAUCUCUCCUCCCCAUCCUUCCUCUCUGGCAGCCAGGAUGGGCCUGGGAUGUGCUCCUGAUGGAAAGAGGAAAUUGGACAGGAGGUUGGCUGAAAGUGUACCAGAGCUCUACAGGGAUUUCUUGUGCCUUUUCAAGGAAGGAUUUGCUGUGUUCUAGAAUGUUGAUAAGAGCUAUCAAAUGACAUCUUUGUGAGGAACACACCAGACCCUCUGCACAUCGAAUAAAGUCCAAAAAGCAGCAGAAUUAAUUCCUGUG